rnacentral:rRNA from 1 species
GACGAACGCUGGCGGCGUGCUUAACACAUGCAAGUCGAACGGAAAGGCCCUGCUUUUGUGGGGUGCUCGAGUGGCGAACGGGUGAUUAACACGUGAGUAACCUGCCCUUGACUUUGGGAUAACUUCAGGAAACUUGGUCUAAUACCGGAUAGGAGCUCCUGCUGCAUGGUGGGGGUUGGAAAGUUUCGGCGGUUGGGGAUGGACUGGGGGCUAAUAAGCUUGUUGGUGGGGUAGUGGUUUACCACGGCUUUGACGGGUAGCCGGCCUGUGAGGGGAGACGGCCACAUUGGGCCUGAGAGACGGCCCAGACGCCUACGGGAGGCAGCAGGGGGGAAUAUUGCACAAUGGGCGGAAGCCUGAUGCAGAGGCGCCGCGUGCGGGAUGACGGCCUUCGGGUUGUAAACCGCUUUCGCCUGUGACGAAGCGUGAGUGACGGUAAUGGGUAAAGAAGCACCGGCUAACUACGUG